ACGGAAGGGCACCACCAGGAGU
rnacentral:ncRNA from 2 species